UCAGGAUGAACGCUAGCGGCAGGCUUAACACAUGCAAGUCGAGGGGUAACGCGGUGUAGCAAUACACUGGCGACGACCGGCGCACGGGUGCGUAACGCGUAUGCAACCUACCUGUAACAGGGGCAUAACGGAGGGAAACUUCCACUAAUUCCCAUAUUGUUGUGAUACCGCAUGAUAUUGCAACGAGAGCUUCGGUGGUUACGGAUGGGCAUGCGUGACAUUAGCUAGUUGGUAAGGCAACGGCUUACCAAGGCGACGAUGUCUAGGGGAGCUGAGAGGCUUAUCCCCCACACUGAUACUGAGACACGGACCAGACUCCUACGGGAGGCAGCAGUGAGGAAUAUUGGUCAAUGGACGGAAGUCUGAACCAGCCAUGCCGCCGUGGAGGAAGAAGGUCCUAUGGGUUGUAAACUCCUUUUGUUCCGGAGUAAUAAGUGGUUUGCGAACCACGAUGAGAGUACGGGACGAAUAAGCAUCGGCUAACUCCGUGCCAGCCGCUGC
rnacentral:rRNA from 1 species